GACGAACGCUGGCGGCGUGCUUAACACAUGCAAGUCGAACGGAAAGGCCCCUUUGGGGGUACUCGAGUGGCGAACGGGUGAGUAACACGUGAGUAACCUGCCCUUGACUUCGGGAUAACUUCAGGAAACUGGGGCUAAUACCGGAUAGGAAUCCUUGCUGCAUGGUGGGGGUUGGAAAGCUUCGGCGGUUUUGGAUGGACUCGCGGCUUAUCAGCUUGUUGGUGGGGUAGUGGCUUACCAAGGCUUUGACGGGUAGCCGGCCUGAGAGGGCGACCGGCCAGGGGGGGACAGAGAGGCGGCGCGGAGUAGGGCGGGAGGAGGAAGUCGGGAUGGAAGCAGCGGGGGCGGGGGCCCGCGGGAGCCACGGCGCGUGGGGGACGGCGGCGCGCGGGGGGUAGAGCGCUGGCGGCAGGGGGGGGUGGGGGGGGAGCAGAGACUGAGAAAGAAGCACCGGCUACCUACGGGCCAGCGGCCGCGGUACAAAGCGGAAGAGCACCGGUCUGAAC
rnacentral:rRNA from 1 species